rnacentral:rRNA from 1 species
GAUGAACGCUGGCGGCGUGCCUAAUACAUGCAAGUCGAGCGAACGGACGAGAAGCUUGCUUCUCUGAUGUUAGCGGCGGACGGGUGAGUAACACGUGGAUAACCUACCUAUAAGACUGGGAUAACUUCGGGAAACCGGAGCUAAUACCGGAUGAUAUUUUGAACCGCAUGGUUCAAAAGUGAAAGACGGUCUUGCUGUCACUUAUAGAUGGAUCCGCGCUGCAUUAGCUAGUUGGUAAGGUAACGGCUUACCAAGGCAACGAUGCAUAGCCGACCUGAGAGGGUGAUCGCCCACACUGGAACUGAGACUCGGUCCAGACUCCUACGGGAGGCAGCAGUAGGGAAUCUUCCGCAAUGGGCGAAAGCCUGACGGAGCAACGCCGCGUGAGUGAUGAAGGUCUUCGGAUCGUAAAACUCUGUUAUUAGGGAAGAACAUAUGUGUAAGUAACUGUGCACAUCUUGACGGUACCUAAUCAGAAGGCCACGGCUAACUACGUG